rnacentral:ncRNA from 2 species
UCUUCACGAUGUCGUCACGGUGUUCGGGAAGUCCGGUAGAAGCCGGCGCGGUACUCGCCACUGUGGGCAGGUACGUCGACUACUAGGGGUUCGACCCCAGCCACUGGAUGCUCACGCAUCCGGGAAGGCGUAGUCGGCGGUCAUCCCUGCCGAGCCAGGAGACCGGCCGUGACGCAUACCUGCAC